AGCAAACCAUCAGACAACUAAACCCACAUUUUCAAAAUAGAACACAAAAAAUUAAAAUCUUACUAGCUUCAAUCGUCUGAGGAGCAUCAAUGAGUUGAGUUAUGGUCCAUACAUUGAGAGAAGAAAUAGAAAGUGAGAAAGGGAAUGAGAAAAGAAAUGCGCAGUAAUGAAAAAACUCAUAUUCAAGACAAGAAAUGGGUAAAAAUCUAUGGAAUAAGAGAGAAAGGAAAAAACUGGAGAGAGAGAGAGGGAAAGCCAGAAUCAAGAGAGGGGAAAAGCGAGAUUUGAGAGCCAGAAUCUGGAGAGGGGAAAGCGAGAUUUGAGAGCGAAAGGGUUGUAGAGAAUCUGGGAAGAGGGAUGGAGAGAAUGGGAUCGGGGGGAGAUAGAGGGAUGGUAAGAGAGGGAUUUUCUUUUUAAUUCAAUUAUUU
rnacentral:lncRNA from 1 species